rnacentral:rRNA from 1 species
GAGACGACGCUGGCGGCGUGCUUAACACAUGCAAGUCGAGCGGUAAGGCCCCUUCGGGGGUACACGAGCGGCGAACGGGUGAGUAACACGUGAGCAAUCUGCCCUUCACUUUGGGAUAACUCUGGGAAACGAGAGCUAAUACCGAAUACGACCACUUCAGGCAUCUGAUGGUGGUGGAAAGUUCCGGCGGUGAAGGAUGAGCUCGCGGCCUAUCAGCUAGUUGGUGGAGUAACGGCCCACCAAGGCUUCGACGGGUAGCCGGCCUGAGAGGGUGACCGGCCACACUGGGACUGAGACACGGCCCAGACUCCUACGGGAGGCAGCAGUGGGGAAUAUUGGACAAUGGGCGAAAGCCUGAUCCAGCAACGCCGCGUGAGGGAUGACGGCCUUCGGGUUGUAAACCUCUUUCAGUAGGGACGAAGCGCAAGUGACGGUACCUACAGAAGAAGCCCCGGCUAACUACGUG